rnacentral:tRNA from 1 species
GCUGGUGUGGCUCAGUGGUAGAGCAAUUGAUUCGUAAUCAAUAGGUCGGCGGUUCAAAUCCGCCCAUCAGCUCCA